AACGAACGCUGGCGGCAUGCCUAAUACAUGCAAGUCGAACGAAGGCUUCGGCCUUAGUGGCGCACGGGUGCGUAACGCGUGGGAAUCUACCCUUGGUUCGGAAUAACAGUUAGAAAUUGACUGCUAAUACCGGAUGAUGACGUAAGUCCAAAGAUUUAUCGCCCAAGGAUGAGCCCGCGUAAGAUUAGCUAGUUGGUGAGGUAAAGGCUCACCAAGGCUACGAUCUUUUAGCUGGUCUGAGAGGAUGAUCAGCCACACUGGGACUGAGACACGGCCCAGACUCCUACGGGAGGCAGCAGUAGGGAAUAUUGGACAAUGGGCGAAAGCCUGAUCCAGCAAUGCCGCGUGAGUGAUGAAGGCCUUAGGGUUGUAAAGCUCUUUUACCCGAGAUGAUAAUGACAGUAUCGGGAGAAUAAGCUCCGGCUAACUCCGUG
rnacentral:rRNA from 1 species